rnacentral:lncRNA from 1 species
CAAAGCCAACUAGCAGAGCCGAGGAUCGGUGGGAUGCCGUAGCUUUAAGAGAUAAGGGCUGAGGCAAUCAGAAAGGCUUUUUUUAGGAAGGAGGCCCCCUCCCUCCUAUGUUGUAAAAGGGAAGUGCAGAUCUUUCUGCAACACUCUUCCGACUUGAUUACCCCUAAGAGGAGGAUAUAGAAGCAGAUUUAGUUGCAGGUUGGAGUGAGUCUACCCUGCAAAGCAGCUUCUCGUUUAUCCCCAUUUGGGAAUGAGGAGAUCCGAUGUCAAGUGCAGGAAUUGCUGUCGAAGGGGCGGGAGAGUCUCAGUCCGUGUUCAACGCCUGCUUGACUAGCCCAAAAGGAGGCAGCUGGAGUGUGUAGAUGGGCUUUGAAGCAGGGCCACGGAUAUUUCAAUUCGGAGACGGGGUGGAAAGAAUUUCGUGAGAGGAGAUAGUAGGCUUGAUACGGAUACAACUGCUUAUCACCCUAGAAUCAACGAGUUCGACUAUACCCGCCUUAAUUCCUUCAUUCAGGACAGAUGGAACCNAAUAAGAGCACCUGGCUCUGCCCAUUCACAAGGACUCGAUUCUAUGUCCAAACAUCACAUGCCAGCAGAUGUGGUCACCAUCAUAGGUACUCAAGAUAUUGUGUCUGGAGAGGUGGAUAGAUAGGACUAAGGGAAUAAUCUUGUUUGGUUCGGUAAUGGAAUCAAUAGCUUGCCCGAACAGGACCCUAGCUUUAUUGCGAGCCAAAAAUAUUGAUAAAUUUCCCUUCCAUAGGGAUUGUUGUGGCAUGAACUCAUUUCUGCCUUUCCUCACCCCCAUCCUUCCUUGUAACGGAGACUAAUGGGUUGAAGGCGGUGAGGCAUGGUCAGAGUGUAGGUUCGAAUCCUGCUACCUUUCUUGUGGAUCAUCCUGAAACCACAGGAUGAUGGGAAUAACAAAGCAUAAAUUUUGAAAUGAGCACGUCAAUAUAUGAAUUGUUUCAUUAUUCGUUAUUUUCGGGUUUUUUUGUUGCAUUCAGUUACAACAAGAAAGAACCAACAGUGUUUGGUGCAGCACCUACAUUUUGGUGCAUUCUUCUUUCUUUCCUUGGUCUUCCGUUCCGUCAUAUUCCUAAUAACUUAUCCAAUGACAACGAAUUAACCGCAAAUGCACCUUUCUUUUAUCAAAUCUCAGGGACAUGGUCUAAUCAUGAGGGUAGUAUUUUAUCAUGGUGUCGGAUCCUAAGUUUUUAUGGAUUCCUUCUUUGUUACCGGGGUCGACCCCAAAGCCAUAAUGUCUCAAAACGAGGAGGCCAUAGAGAAAGUCUUUUUUAUUCCUUUGUCUCAAACUUCGUGAAGAACUCCAUUCUAUCUCUCCCUAGUUACGAACAAAAAACUGGGGCUACGACCCAAUUGUACACUCCCUUCGUUCUACGAACCCUUGUUGAUUCUGAACUUCAUUCGCGAAGGCGCCGGACUUUUCACGGGCCAGCCCUUUUUUAUGUGUUGUUUUCCCAAAGAAGCUUUGCUCCUCUGGGUGCUAGGCGCUUCCGUGGUUCGCNGGCUCAACUUGAAGGAGAGUUGUCUCGGCGUAGUGAAACUGCUUCUGCCCAUUUGGUGAACAACUCUGUUGCUACUAAAAUGAAACAUUUUCCCCUCGAGGGAGUGGUUAUUUUCCCGAUGAAAUCGAGGGCACAAGUUUGAAAUGGGUAGGGAGUUCCACGGCUGGAGCAUGUAUGAGGUUGCCAUGUAGUUGACAAACCUUGCACCUCUUAACAAAUGUUGCUGAAUCUAUCUCCAUAGUUGGCCAAUAGUACCCCAGGGUCAUCAGGUGAUCAUAUAUCUUUGCGCCGCCAAUAUGUCCUAGGGCGUGGGCUUCCUCGAGAACAUGCUGCACAUCCGGAUGGAGAGGAUGGACAUUAUAACCCUUCAUGUAAAGUUCUCAUUGCUUAGCAAAGAAGCGAAAUGCCCUUUUCUUUAUUCCAACUACAUCUUUUGUUUCAGAGGGGAGGAUUUUUUGAUCCAGAAAAGAAAUACAAUCAAUAUAGGGCUUUCUCCAGUCUUCAUAAUAUAAUGCUCUAAGGCACAUUCUGCUGGACAUGGGUAGAAUUGACAUUGGAGGCAAGUUUUCUUCAAUUUGUUGGCUUCCUCCAAUACUGCAGCUGAGAGUUCUGCUCUGAUGGAGGUGCAUAUUCAUAUUCUCCACUCGGGAAACGGGCAAGCAAAUCAACUAAGGCUUUACUUUUCAUUGCGUUGGGAGUUACACAUUUCAUGUCAUAGCCUGCUAGAGUGAGGAACCGCCGAGCAGCUCUCCCUAUGAGUAUAGUAUAGCUCGAGACAUUAAGUGUUUGAUUGGGUCACAUCUUGUCACAAUAUGAACUGUGAAGGACAUGAAGUAGUGACACAACUUCUAAGUAACAAAGACUAAUGUGAGGCAGUGCCCUUCCACAACUGAGUACCUUGUUCUCGGACCUGUGAUCACUCGGCUCAAGUAGUAUACUGGGCAUUCCUUCCUAUUGCAAUGCCCCACGAGAAGUAGAAGUAAGAUAAAGCUGCAAGGGAUUGGAUGGAUAUUGAUCCAGUUUAGGCAGCUUUCAAUCUCUAUAAACUUGAUGGAAUAUCUCUUACACAAGGAAAAAGACUUGCAUCAAUCAAUGGAAUGAAGGAGUUGAAUCAGGAACAUAAUUUCAAAGCCAAAGCAAAGGCAUUCAUUUAGCAGGAGUUUACGCUGCAAAGACGAUUCGUGCUAGCUCUUCUCUUCUUUAACUAGUUAGAUGAAUAGCCUAUUGGGCUAGUUUACUAAGCUUUCAGUCUACAUAAACUUCAUUCAAUAUUGAUCACACUCCUUCUCCUACUGCUUCUCCUUAUAGCCACUAAUGUUCUUCUUCGUCCUACCUUGACUAUUGGGAAAUUUCCGUUCGAUAAAGAGGUGUACGAAUAAAUGAGCAAAGAUGACUCGACCGGACGGUAGAGGUUGUUUAAGAAUCAAGAUAGGCACCGUGAAAGAAAGAACUUCGCUAGCUUACCCCACGUAGCAGUCCUAGUAAAUACAUGUGCUUGAUAGACUAGGGCCUUUUAGGAUAUGAUUACAAUGCUUCAGUUGUCAUUGAUCAAGAAGGAAAUCAAAAAGGAAGUCGAUUUUUUGGUGCGAUUGCCAGGGAAUUGAGACAGUUUAAUUUGACUAAAAGACUUUCAUUAGCUCCUUAGGUAUUAUAAGAUGAGACCAUGAAUGAAACCAGAUCGAAACAUUCAGCUGUCGACGGACACACUUUGCCGGAACGUCGACCACAAACGAAGGAUAGCCAGGCCCCGGUUCCCAGGGUAAGGGUAUUCCCUAUUAUGUUAUGAGCUUACUCAGAUCAGAACUAGUUUCUUCUCUUUCGCCUAUCGGCCGGCCGGCUUUAAGCAACCUUCGCAUUUCCUGCUGAGAUCCCAAGUCUCCAAGUAGGCCCUCUUGGCCACCCACGACCUUGGCUUUUUAGAGAAUCCCGCUCCUGUCUCGUAGGACUUGUAGCUCGGCAGUCCACCGGGUGGGUUUGUUUAUCCUUCCAGUUUCGAGUGUAUUCUUGGAUAGUUAUAGCGGCCCAUAGGCGCGAGAUGUACCUUGUGGGGGGGGCGGCGGUCCCAUGGACAUAGUCCUUUCAGGCAGUGGCCGUUUAGUCCAUGGUCCAUUGGAUGGUCGGUGCAAGGCCAGAAAUUGGAACACAUUGAUUCCGCUCGUUCCCGUCCUUCGCUUCAGGGCCUGUCCCUCGGUGUGGUCAGUACUCCAUACUGUCGGGCAGCGAAGCUUACACUUGUUCACUAAUUAUGAAGGUUCGCCAGGGCCUCUUUCCUCCUCCCUUUUCUGCUCACUCGUAGGGGUCCGGACCCCACAAAGGGGGAGGGAGUCGACUGAACAUCUCAGCCAUUGGCGGGAAUUUCGCCCGCAUCCGAUCCUCAAUUCUUGUUCACCCAGGAUGAUCGUGUUGGGUGAAUUGUGACCUCGUACAAUCAUGUCGGGUGAGCAACAGCCGCUUUGUCACAAUACUUACUUAUGGGCUAACAGGUCACAUUUAAAGGGAUGGCUCACUCUCCUUUAAAGAUGUCCCUGCUGCACUCUAAGGAUGACAUAUGAUUAACUAGCACAGGAGAGAGAGUGAGCCUUGGCUUUGGCAUUUCCUCGCUCAAUCUCAUAUCAGUCAGUCAUCUUAUUGUUGUCGAAUAAGCUCUUAGGCAGCUAUCGAAUGGAGUGUGGGAAAGCGAGUAGAGGAGACGCCACCCCAUUCUCUUACACUUUAGGGGAAAGAAUCAUUGUUCCCCCAGCUGAAGACUCACCUUAAAAAUCUGUCGUGUUGCCUGUCUCUUUCUGCAAUGAGUUUAGUGUUGAGAUUUCCUACUCAUUCGUUAGAGAGAGUGGAAGUUUACUGUUCCUCGGUAGGGCUAAAGGAAGGGUGCUGGUGUUACACAACACCGCACACGAAAGCGAAGCCAGGUCUACAGCUUUCAAAGAGGGGUGAAAUCAAAUCCAGUUCAAAGGAAGAGCUCACAAAGACGUGGCCAAAUGAGCUACCCAACAGAUGACACCAUAAUAAGAUCUUUCUGGUACGGCAGGUUCCAAUGAAGAAGAAGAGCUCAAGUAUGUCCUAUGUCAUAGAUAUCAGGUGCCCACAUAUAUAUACAAUCAAAAGAGAUAUGGAAUACGAGCGGUCCUUCUUUCUUUCUGCUUCCUUGUGCUUCUGAGAUCGCUAGCAAUUUUCCAUUGACUGAUUCACCAAGCAUUGGAGCAAGCGAGGAAGACCGCUUUUUCCAUCAUCCAAGUCCAUCUCCGGCCCCCUUCUUCCUAAAGCUCCGCUCCAACCUGCUCCUUUAUCUGUCUUCCAGUCGGCUCCCCAUUCAUCUUCUAUCUCCCACAGAUAGGUGCCUUUCGGGAACGUCUCUCUCUGCUACUCCCUUUUUGAAUGAAUAAGGGGUAGGGCCUUCUUCACUUAGUCAUCUCUGCCUACGACUUUUUUUCUUUCUUGACCCUGCUCGCCUAGCUGGCCCUAUCUUGCACGUUCCACUAACCGCUAUCACAAUUGGAGAAUUCUUACUCUCACUUGACAAAGAUUCAGAUCGUCUAUAUAGACCUCAAGCUAAAAAAGACAAGAAAGCAAUACGCGCCUAUUAAGGCUCAGAAAAGAGAAAGUCUGAAAUCAUUGUGUUCUCAAGGCCGAAGGCCAAGUCAAAGACAGAGACCGUGCCCCUCGGGCACCUCUGAAGAGGGUGCCGCCCUUCCACUAAGCCUUCCUACAUAUAUUCAAAUCAGUACAAAGGCAAGUAUAUAUUCUAUUUUGAGGGAAAAAUAGAAGGAAAAAGAUGGACUAUGCCACAUGGUCGCUACAAAUAAAGGAAAAGUCUUAUGCGAGUGAUACCAAUCGGACACACUUGGAAAAAAGGAAUCAUCAGCUACUAAUACAGCUGAAUCAAAGGAAAAGAAGUGAAAAAGCGGAAAGAAGUCAAUGUGAGAAAGCAAAAAAGGUAACGAGGCGACCGGAGGAGGGAGAAAGGAUAAAAGGGGUGGCAAGCAACUCGAAGGGAUGCUGUGCCACCUAGGUACGCGUCUGGAUUGACCUCGGGCUUUGUCUUUGUUUCUAUAGGAUCUGCUACUCCAACCGUAUCUACUUGUGGUGUACCUGGGUUGGUUUGGCCUCUUCCAUAAUCCUUGCCGCUGAUGGUUAUGGGUAAAUCACAGUAAAGCAGAAAGGAAAGCCUCCUGGAGAACGUUUUCGUCGCCAAGAGAGAAGUCUUUAAAGCCACUAUGGUCUGGGCUCUCACUCACGUCGUCUGCCCCCAUUACGCUGCUCGCCCUAUUAUCCGGCGGAAACCAUGAGAAUUCAUUCAUUUCAGCCAGUCCCGGGUUAUAUAUUGUACGGCGAAACUCGCUAAUAGAUAUCUGUUUUCUCAGGAACCAGACCUGCAUGCACGAAGAAGAACAUAUCUCUCUGGUCAUAUUCUUGUGGAACUUCUGUCGUCUCGUUCAUUGUGGUUCCUCGGCCCUGCUAGCCAUUUGCUUGCUCGAAUUGUACACAUUCAAAGAGGGGGCAAGCUAAACAAGCAAGCAAGCCAUCCAAGUUUAUUUUAUAGAGUCGGAGAAAGAACUUGGGGUUCCCCUGUGACUAACUUAGCGCACUUCCGGUGGUAGCCAUUGGGCUAUAAAGAGCCACUCACUUAUUUAUUUAUAGUUCGGUGUGAGAUCAGCUAAAUUAAGCUACGCUCAUCAUUUAUGAUCCACGGCUCACUCAAUUAGAGCACUAACUACUUCAAAGGAAUUCGCUCCAAAGAGGCUUUGAAUCGCUCCGUUGGUGCGAUCUGGUCGAUAGGUUGUCCAGUCCGGUGAGGAAUUUUGCUAUGCCCCCCGCUGACCUUUCACUGUGAUUACUGUUGCAGUAAAGCCAACGGGAAGAUCAGUCCCAGGGCUCAAUCUAGGCUGCCAGCCAAGAUGAAGAUGGAUUGAAGGGGUUGUCAGGGAGCUUCAAAGGGAAUUGUAGGAUCCAUAGUUGGAAAGACUGCAGGAAAAAAGGGGAACAUAGUCGCUAGGAAAUCAGAUUCCAUAGUCAAGGCUGAGACAGACCCUAUGUUUACUUCGCGAUAGUCUUAGCUCGACAUUGUCAAGCCAUACUAUCUACCAAAAUUUAUUUUUUUCUGACAUUAUAUCCUAUAUAUCGGAGAUAUAAGGUUUGAACUUCCACUUAUGGUAAUCGAACUNCUCUUUCCCGGCAAGAAGAUAAAAGAUUUCCUUCGGGCAAGUUCCACUAUAGUUGGGAAAGGAACGGACCACAAGCUUCGCGCUCUGCCUUUCUUGUAUUUGGACUCUUUCGCGCUAUAUGCUGCUCUCUCUGCGCGCUUAGCUUUCUUUGCUCUUUGCUAUCGUGCUAUUGCCGGCUUCCUUCUCUUUAAGACUAAGACCAAGGGCUCUUACAGAGUGAACACGUCUUAUUUCAUUUUUAGAAAGAUGAUCUUUUUCAUUCCCCAAGGGGAAAAGGUCUCUUCUUCUGCUUCAGUUGAUCCUGAAGCAGAUCUUUUUUCGACUUCCUUCCUGUCUGGGAUUUGAAAAAGCAAAGUCCUUACUUUGACUUACCCGAAUCAAGUCAAGGCGAUGAAGCAGGCUCAAGGCCCAUUUUCUUAUAAGAGUUCUCUCUCUCCCCGGGAAUCAUAGCCUAGUAUCGUACCGGGAAUCCACUUCUGACCUGACCUUCUGACGAGAAUCCUUCUAACUUCACUCUUUUUUUCAAGUAAAGAAUGUGUAAACCGAGGCCAUUGAAUCUGCUGCAGAUGUCAUCAUAGAAGAAGAAGUUGUUCUUCUUUUUUCUGCAUCAACUACUAAUCACACGUUUGGAAUCGAUCUAGCUGCUUAGCUUAUCUUAUGUGGUUUGGGCAUACGGAUUCGACUAGCAUUCACGUGGGUAGCAUUUGAAUGCGGAAUCACCCGAAAGCACGGGAUUCGACUUGACUUUCUUUCCGAUGGUCCUAUCUUAUUAGAAAUAAGUAAAUAGUGGAUCUUUGACUAGCAUUUCGAGGAAAUCAUAGUUGGUAGUGGAUUUUUGGCUUUGACCAGGCCAAAGGCGAAAAAGAGAGAAAAAAGGCAAUUCCUUCUCUUCUGUUGUCACAAGAAGGGACUAGGUUCCUAGCCAAGCCAGGGAAUCUACGACCGAUUGCCAAAAAAUAUCCCACUACGGGGUGAUAAGAAAGGAAGGAGUGCCACUUUCAAAAAUUCUUUUUUAGUUAAAUCACCUGCUGAAGCGAAUCCUUCGAAAUAGCCAAACCAGUAAGUAGAAGGGCAAGGUGACCAUAGGGAAAGGCAUUACCAGAAGAAAAGUAGUCCAACUCAAUGUCUUACGCAUCAGUGGCAUUUGAGUGAAAGUAGUAAGUCAGUGGCCAAGAAUCAUCGAUUUUUGAGUUACCAGCUCAAGGCAGCUCAUGGGAAUUUCUUUAACUAAGAACGAUCCCUAGUGUCAUCCUCUUCGUCUUAUCUUUAGGAAAGCAAGUCCCAUCGAGUGGAGUCAAGGCAUGCCUUAAGGUAGCGACUGACUUUCAGGUGAGAUGGUUCAAUAGUAGAUUAGAUAAAGGCUCUUGCUACUUCCCACGAGGGGAGGAAAGUCAAUAGCGUAGAUAAGGAAGUGGCUAUUCUUGUUUGUUCAUGACUCCGCUGCGCUCCUCUUUCAUGGAAUAAGCGCCUUUUCUCUUACAGACAAAAGAAAUGGAUUUUUUCCGGCUAGCUCGAAGGGAAGGAAAGAGCGCUAUAAGAGAAAGAGUGCUAUGGAUUCCUUUAGAUGAAGAUUAGAAAGUGAUUGAAGUUUGUAUUUUGAUACAAUUCAUGGUAUUUUGAUGUAGUGAACUUUGUUUUUUCAAAACUUGAAUCAAGAUGUGAUAGAUUAUUUUUAUGAUACUUUGUAUGUUUGAUACUUAAUGUUGAAUUGAACACACUUAUUAUUAUUGGUAUUUUUGUUUUGUAGUUUAUUUUUGUAUUUUUUUACUAUUUUUUAAUUUAAAAUACAAUAAUGAUGUAAAAAUGACGUCAUCCGGUUCGUCCAGUUUUUUGGACCGGUCCGACCGGUUGAACCGGUUGACCCAUCAAACCGGUAUGGCGGCCGGUUCGAUGUCCAGUCUGCUUUUCAAAACAUUGACUAACUCAUAACUUAUAGCAAUAAGUCCCAAAUGUUUAUACUAAUUUCCAAAUCUCACAAUUUAAACUAUGAAGAGGGAUACUGUAAUCAUAAUCGAAUUUGAGAACGCAAAUAUCACAAUUGCUAUCUCCUCAAAAUCUCUCUUAGUGAAAGUGUUUCCUCACAAUCAUUUUCAUGAAAUGAAGAGGAACCUUAUGACACUUAGAUUUUAUGGUUUAUGUGUUCCUAUCCAUGUGAAUUUGUCAUAACCAUAAUAAUAAGAUAAUGUUUGUGACAAAUCCAAACUCUUAUGGACAAAACUUCUUCAUUCUUAAUUUCUUGUCAUCAUGGGUCCCACCAUUGCUUACAAGUUAUUGAGUAGCUCACCCGUACAUAUCAAUGUACUUUCCAUUGAUCAAGGUGCUUUGCCUUAUGCAAUCAAAUGAGAACUCAUAGGACUCACAUACAUAAGUAACUUUACUGGAAUGGCAUGGAAACAAGAAUAUUUCAACACGAUAGGUUACAAACCUCAAGUCGUGUGCUAGUGUCUAAUAGGUUUACUCUUGAUUAGUUCGAUCUUGAGCCUUUUCAAGAUCAUUUAGACUUCCACUAACCUCUUGACAUAUAAGAUUCUCUUUUCAAGAAAUAUUUCUUGACAAAAAAAUAUUCAGGAGUUAGUGAGGAUUCUCAUCAAGACAAACACUACACACAAUUGGUCUUAGUUGGUCUUUGUCUUAUCCAAUAUACAACACAACUUACCAAUUUCAAAUGUGCAAGAGUAAGAAAAACAUUUCUCUACUCCACAUUUGAUGAGUGUGUUAAAGACUUCUUAAGAUGUGUCACUCAAAUGACUCUAAGACUUGAUAUUGGAACGAAGUAUGAUUCACCUCUUGAUUUAACCAUUUCAAAAAUUUACCUAUUCCUCUUCUUAGCAACACUAGUGCACUAAGGUGUCCUUAGAGGAUCAAUUGUGAUAUGGUUUCACAAUCAAUAAGACGAUCAUAAAACAUGAUAUGAAAGUACUCUCCCAUCUUUUUAGAUUGGAGAAACUUUUAUCUUUCUGUCUAAUUGAUUCUUCUUAUUUGUUCUGUUAUUCAUUGAAACUUUUGAAUGAUUCAGAAUUAUACUUAAUCUUGUAAGCAUAACCACAUUUACUAGACACAUAGUAAAUCAUGACGAAUAAUCUUAUUGUUAUUUGUGGUGGACUUGACCAGUGCACAACAUUGCGUACCAUAUCUCCUUAGUCUUUCACUUGACUCACAUACUUAUGUGAACAAGGAAUUAAUCUUAAUUUUCUAAGUACCAAGAUUUUCAUACAUCACAUGACUCAAAUCAUAUGAUUCCAAACGUUUCUCCAAUUGAAACUUGGGCGACGGGAAUUUUUCCUUACCUAGAAAAUUUCGACACUACCAUAAAUAACAUAACUAAGAAUCACAUCCACUUAAUAUUGCUUAUAAUAGAAACACAACAACAUCAAUUUAAACAAAUGACAUUGCAAGGAGAUAUAAAUAAGACAAAACUCAAAUUUUAUUUUAUUUAUACAAAGGUGCGGAAAACUUGUCCUUACAAUGAAAAUUCAAAUCAAAACUAUGCUAUUACAUAUUACUAAGCAGUCUAUCAUAACUCUAAGCAGCAACUUAAAAAAUCCGAUCAUCGAAUUAUGUGAUCGAAAUACAUUUCUUCGUGAUCAGACUCAACUCACUUCUUCUUUUAAGCUUCCUUUUCCUUUCUUCGAUCCUACAACACAUCAAAAUGUAAUCUUAUCACAUCAUGUAUUAAGAAUCUAUGAAUAGGAACCUAAUAGAGUUAAAUAGUGGAUUUUACCUGAAGCAGAGUCAUACAUCUUGACUCUCCCAUCUCUUACAUCUCUCAGGUAGUCAGGGCAGCUUCAUAACCAAUGUUCCCUCUUUUGGCAGUAGAAACAUAUGGAUUCUUCUGGAAUGGUACAUGAGACUAUCUCAGACUCAGCCUUUCUCUUUCAUAGAGAAAUCUUUUUUUGACUUCCAAUAUUGCCAUUGCCCAUAGAAGGUUGGGAUAUUGAUUUACCAGACAAAUAUGCUUGAACAAUGCGCCAAAUCGUCAUUGAUUCAGCAGCAAUAAGCAAAUAAGUCAAACCAAUAAGGGUCACGUCGUCGUCCAUCAUAUAGUACUUUCCAAUGAACUCAUUAUAUGAUUCGGGAAGUGAUUGAAGAACCAAGUCAACAACGAACUUCCUUGAGACAUCGACACCCAACAUUCUUAAUCUAUCAAUAUGCAACUUCAUAUCCAAGACAUGAGCACAUACAGACUUUCCAUCGUUCAAGUCUUCAAACACGUGGGUCAGGGAGAAUUAUUGAAGGAGGUGGAGGAAGUGAAAAAUGAUUUCCAUUUCCACAAUCCAAUCAUGGAACAUCAUCUUCAAGCGGAAAACUUUCUCCAACGGAUUCAGGAAUAUCAUAGUUGAUAGACUUUAACAUCUACAAAACGGGAGAAAUUCAAGUUAGUUGAUAAAAUCCUCAAUACAACACCCAAAUGAAAUAUUGAGGCUAGGAUCCAACAAAAUAUUCUACAAUUUGGAAGAGGGAUGUCGUAAUCCAAAUUGCAGAACAUUUGAAGGUAGGUAAUGAUGAUUUACCAAUUUCCACCAUGAAAAACAAAAAUUGAAAAUUUGGUUUUAAAUGAAUUGAAACUCCUAGAUCUUUUGUGAUUCAAUGAACUUUUCAAUGUCAUGUUUAAAUCUCAAUUGUGCCCUUCAAGUUUGUGACUGGGAUUCCGACGAUCACAAACAAGGUGUGGAUAACCAUGCAAAUUAGCUUGGUACUCUCGAAGAUACAUAUCACCUAAUCAAUGUGCCAGUUAACCACAUACGCUCGAUUGAUCUAUGAUAAUCUACGAGCUACCCAUUUCCAUCCUUCAUUGGUCUCAUAUUAGUGUGUCGGUUAACCACACACGCUCUACUAACGACCAACAAGGUGCAAUGUGCAAUUUUAUGGAUUAGCACCAACUCCACAUUUUUCCUAAAGUAACUAAGAUUUGGGAAUUUAUAAAAGUGUUUAGUUACUUCGUACUUCAUUAUACUUAUAAUGGAAGGUUGUGUCCUAUCCAACCCGUUCGGCUAACGACCUACCACUAGUCAAGAGUGUGGUGGGUAAGAGUGGAUACCCAUUCAAUCGCCAUUUUAUAGGCAAUUUCCUUAAACACCCCUUAGAAACCAGCUUCGUGAAUGAUGCCUACUAAUGGUAAGACUGAGAUUUUACUUAUACAUAUAUAAUAUUAAACUUUUAAUUAUAUAUAGUAUAAGGGUGUAUUUUACACUUUUAAAAUACUAUGUGGUUUAAUCUAUUAAUAAAGUAAACUUUUAAUUUAAUUAAUUUAAACCAUAUUAUUAUGGAUUUAUUAAUUAUCUCCUUUAAUUAAACACUUAAUUAAUUCAAUAAAACGAUAAGGGUGUAAUUUGAACUUUUCAAAAUACUAGGGUCUUAGAAUAUAAUAUUUCAAAAUUAAUACAUUUUAAUUAAAUUUUAAAUUCCAAGAGGACAAGCUUUGAAACCUUUCAAAACAUUAGGGUUUAACUAUUUAAAUUUCAAAAACUAAAACUUUUAAGUUCAAAUUUAAACUAUAAAACCUAAUGGUGUAAAUUGAAACUUUUUCAAUCUUACUAGGUCAAAUAUUUGACUAAUAAUAAUCCCAUAUUAUCCAUAUUUAACCAAAUCCAUCAAUUUUGAUGAGGAUAACCAUUCCAAACUUUAAAAAAUCGGAUUUUGGCAAGAAAAACGAGUUUUGGCAAUUAUCCUCAACAAAAUCUGGCUAGAAAAUCGAAAUCCCCGACACCAGACCCUGGGACUCGUCGAGUCCACUAUGGAACUCAUUGAGUAGGACCUACUCGUCGAGUCCAUACAUGGACUUGAUGAGUCUGCAAGUUAGAAACCAAAAAAAUCGAUUUUCAAGAUUUUUGGUGGUUCACUUUUGCAUUUAUUCACUAGAAAAACGACCUAAGCUUUGAUACCACUGAUGAGUUAUGAGCAUAACAUCAUUCCUAUGGUGUUCAUGCAACCCUAAUUGCUUUGAUCUAGUUUUUUCUAAUUAAACAUACAACUUGGAUUACCAAAGCAAUAAACCUUAAUUGACUAGCAUAAAAAUCUGAAAAUCACAUAUAAUUAGAGUUAGAAAGUUUACCUUGAUUGUUAUGUAGCAAUAACAACCACAAUCCUUCUUGAUCUUGACUUCUGAAAGCCUAGUGCCUCAAAUGUUGCACCUCUACUGGAAUCACAGACACUCAAUGCAACAAGAUGACUUGGAGAGGGAAGGAUUUUCGGCUAGGGUUUCUCAUAAAACUCAUUGGGCCGUAAAUCCUAUGUAAAGGGUUCCUUAUAUAGAUGUGUGGGCUGCUAGGCUUUCUGAUGGAAACCCUAAUUCCUGCUUAAGGCCUAAGCAGCCCAUGGAUUCCUUCCUUAAAUCCCUUGGACGAAAUCUUAUGGGCUUCCUCAUAAAUUUCGUUCACUCCACUCUAUGAAGUCAAUCAGCCCAACUAGCAACUAACAAUUAAUUGCAAUAUCAGUCCCCAUUAUUUAAUCAGUCUUUUUUGAUCUCCAAAUUAAUACCAAAUUAAUUUCUGAUCAAUACUAAUUAAAUAAUAUAAUUUCCAAAUAAUAUAUUAAACUUGUAAUAUAUUAAUAAAACCAUUUUCGAGUACCAAUUUAUUAUUCAUAUAAUAAAUUCUACUAUCUCGCCUCUUGUCAUCCUAUCAAGUUGCAUGAGUGAAGGCAACCCAAAAGGACCAUGCUCAUAAUCGGGUCAAGUACAUACAAAAAUAGUUAUGGGCUUAGACACCUAAUCCAACACCGAGUUGGUCCAUCAACUCGCCAAGUUCCAUGAAUCAUAAAACCCUGAAAUCGCGAUCCAACUCGUCGAGUUCCUCCUAUUAACAGAAUCUAGACUUCUCGAGUACACUCGUCGAGUUCUUCCUUUACUUCGACCCAACUCGUCGAGUUCCUCUAUGAACUCAUCGAGUUCUUUAGUCUGUUGAGCUAUCUUAAUGUAUUACGCUCCUAUCCUUCACAUCCAAGCUCCAUACUUCAUAUUCAUACUGAAAAUGUCAUUUUAAGGGUAAAGUUUCCAACUUUACCCGUUAAGAUCCUUCCCUAAUGGAUUUAGCUCAAACCCUAACUCUUUAAGAACAAGAUCUUGAUCCAAAAGCCAUUAAUACUUCAAGCUAAGGCAUACAAACUGAUAUAUAGACCCUAGACACUACUUGAACACAUAAGGUCUCUGACUUUCUCUCCAUACAUGGCCUUUUGGAGCUUAAAAGGCCAAAAUGACUUCCUAAGGCUUUCAUGGGCCUCCACUGGAAAUAAAAUUUGCACCUUUAUGCCAUGAAAGCCCUUAAAGGUCCUAGAUCUGGAAGUAUACUCACUUGGGAUGUCCAUUUCCCAAGGAUCAAGAUAUUUGGACUAAAACCCCCCAUAAAAGUGAAAUGGAAGAGAUCUAAGUAAUCAUUAAGCACGUUUGAGACUUGCUUACCAAAAAGUGACGAGGAUGGGGUGAAGUUUUUGGAUCUACUCACUCCUUGAGUCCUCAAGCUUCUUCUUUUUCCACAAGCUUCAAAUACACAAUUUUUCUCUCAAAAAUGACUCACAAGCUCACACAAAAGCAUUAGGGUUUCGAGAUUUAGGGUUUGGGACUUGGAGGCUGUAAAUGAGGCCAGCCAAAGGAAGUUUAAGGGUUUAAAUAGGGUGCAAAACCACGAAAAUUAAGGUUUCAUUCUGCCAGUCCUACUCGUCGAGUUGAGGCUCUCAACUCGUCGAGUAGACUUUCCAAAUCGCAUCCAAUUCCAUUCCUACUCGACGAGUUUGGGGCCUCCAACUCGUCGAGUUUCUAUACGAAAGUGAAUAAAUUUUGAAUUAAAUACAUACCAGAAACCGGGCAUUACAAGUUUGGGGGGCUCAUCUGGAUCCCAAAGCGUGUGGAUCUGUUUAAUCCUUUAGGAAGGAGGAUCUUAUGGUUAGUUUUUGUCAUUUGGGAUCAAUAGAGGAGUUAUGUACCAGGUUCUUAGGAGGGUCAGGAUUCCUUCAGAAUUUUGCGGUUUUUUCAUCUUCUAUUUUCUUAUGGGUUGUUAUCGGGAGUUGGUAUUGUUAGAACCUAAAAGUGAUACUUUAGCAAUCCUAAGUACAUAUUCCGAAGGAUGCUGAUUCCGAAGAUGGAUAUGACCCGGAAGCUGUCCGGAGCUGGUUAAAGGGAAUGAAGAAGUUCAAAGAAUAGCACAUUCUGGAACUGAUCUUUUUGUCCGGAAUGGUCAACAAUCCGGAAUAAAGCUUCAUCUUCGGAACAUUACUUGUCUGGAAUGAAGUUAUUUUGUCUGUUAUGUAUUUAUUACUUUUGUAUUGUAUUUUGAUAUGAUGUUUCAUAGGACAUAGUCUAAAGUUGUUUAGGACAAUCAGAAUGUCAGGCUUAUGCCUUUCGUCCGGUCUUAUGUAAACAUCAAGGUUAAUUCACUGUAACUUAGUCUCCUAUAAAAAGGAGCAUUCAAUUCAAGUCAACUAUGGAUCUUUCAUUCGUACUUUGGCAUUUUAUUCUCUAUCACAUUUAUAACAUUCUUCUUGUUAAUCAUUUAUUAAAUUUACUUUGAUCACUAUUUACUUGUCCUCAUUUAAUGUCUUGAUCAUUUAUUGAAUUGAUUAUCUAAGACUUGACCGGUCUUUCCAGUCUCGACUUGAACAUCCAUUAUUAAGCAGACAUUGAUCUCAAGCAUUCACUCAAGGUUUGAGUUCUCAAACCUUAUCCUUGCGCAAAGAUCUUGAUCUCACAGGUAUUGAUUUUGAUUUUGCUUGUAUUGGAUAAGUUAUAUCUCAGGUUGAUUCUCUAAUAUUUUUUGGGUUAUCAAGCGUCGUAUCUUGUUGAGUGGGUUUGGUGUGUUCCGUUGUUGUUCCGGGUUUUAGUUGGGAUCAAUUCAGGAGUAUUGCUUGGAGGAUCUAUGGUCAGGGUUAUUGGGUUAGUUCUACAGUGAAGACAGGGUUCAGGGGUUUUAUCAUCUGUCCUGGUAAGAUCGACAUCUAUCUAUAGAAGAAUUUGUGGGUUCAAGCACUACCGUUGCUAGGAGAGGAACGUUCGGUCAAGUGUGUGCUUUACUCUGGGUGUAUUCAAUUUGAUAGAUUAGAGAUAAGGCUUUGGGUUGCGAUUAUGGUAAGUGGAAGUGUUGUAUGACUGUAGGGUGGCCCGUAUCAUUUACCGAUCCUUAUUUAGUGAUGAGAUCGUGGAAAACCUGAGUUUUGAUCGCGGUUCCCUUCGGAUGGUUUAGGCCAGGGUGGGUCAGUUCGCAAGGCUGUUGGAGGGCCGCAAUAUAUUUGAAACCAGGUUAUGGUAGGUCAUGGGAGACCGGGUAUGAGGAAAAAACUAUAGUUGGUCCUGUUGUGUUCAGUUUAACAUCAAGUUAGUGUCGAGAUGGUCUGGGUAAUUAUUGCCUGUGAGGAUUUCUGUCAAAAGUCACAAGGAGCGGCUGGGUGGGGGUCUUUUGGCUCAGCAACCGGGCUGGAACCCGAUAUUUCAGAUGACUGGCUGAUGAACUGGGACCAAGGAGGUCUCUAUGGAUUUUGGAAAGCAGCCAGGAGGCAGCAUGCUAUUUCGGGCAGUUUUAGUGUUUCAGGCAGUGUUAGUGAUUCGGUCUCGUGUGUGUGCGGAGUAACUGAUUGAUUGUCAAUUGUUAAGUCACUCGCAGUGGGAUUAAAUAAUCUCAGAGUAAUUGAUUUGACCCUUUUGUGCAACUCUCGUCUGAUUCUAACCGUUGCAGGGAUAAAUAUUCUACUUGAAGGAUUAUUUGAGCCCUCUGUUGAGUAUAGGUGUUCUGUAGUUGUAUAUGGUCAAUGAAUUUGUUUCCCCUUUGAAGCAUUUCUUUGGUUCAAAACUCUAUGGGGUUGGCUUGGUGUCAGUUCAGUUUGAUGUGUCUGACAGGGAGUCAAACCAUUGAGAUUGUAGGUUUUGGAAUUCAGACGAGAUAGGAUAGGUUUUUAUUUAAAUAUUGAGGAUUCAUUCAUCACCGAGCUUAAAGAAUUAUUCUAAGGAUGGUUUUAGUAGAUCGGGAUAGGUCGUUGUAUGAUCAGAGUUGGAAGGGUUAUGGUUGGUUUGAUAUUCGUUGAGAGAGAGCAUGAGUUGUUUCAGCACGAGCGAUCUGUCAGGAAGUCGGGUCAUUAUAGAUUUUAGGUCUCAGAAGGUAGAGGUGGUUUGCAAGGGUUGAAGGUUUGGGUGUUAUUUUCGGGAUAUAAGUUUCGGUUGCCUUGGGAAGGUUAUUUUAUAUGUAGAAUUUACGAUCAUCAUCACCAGGUUGAUUGUUUUGAUAUGAGUGUUAAUAAGGAGCGAUUUCGAUGACGAAAUCUAAUUUAGGUGUGGGAGAGUUGUAACAUUUGGAAUCUAGAAGGUUAAUUGUGGAAAUAAAACCUCAUUUCUAAAGGCCAACUCGUCGAUUUUGGGGGAAGAAACUCGACGUGUUGGAUGUGUUGGUCGCCUGUGUUUUUGAAGACCAAUUCGACGAUUUGGAGAGGAUCAACCUGACAAGUUGGGCGUGGUUUGGGAAACCCUGAUUUCAGUGUUUUGAACCAUAUUUAAACAACUUAAACCCCAUUUGUUGGCUUCAUUUCUAGCCACCAUUUUCCUAAAGCCUAACCUCGAAACCUCAAGUCAUUUUGAGUGUUGUGAGCCAUUUUGAGUUCUUUUGUGGUGUGUUUGAAGCCAUUGGCAGGAAGGGAAGCUUGGUGAAAGUUGGUGAUACAAGCAGGAGUUGCUAGAUCUCGAAUCCUUGCUUCAUUUUUGACACUUUUCUAGUAAAAAGUCUUAACCUUGCUUUUUGAAUUCAUAGAUCUCCUUCUUAGGGUUCUUUUGCAUGUUUUGGUCCAAAUGGAGUGGUUGUUGGGAGUCAGAUGUCUCAUUGGGACAAACCCUUUCAUACAUAGGGUCAUAGGGAGCUCUUUUUGCAUAAAGGUGCCAACUUUAUGGUCUUAAGGGCUCCAUGCAUCCAUUAAGCCUUUCUUCUAGCUUAUUUUGAGUGUCUGGGCUUCUUCAAGCCUUGCAUAAGAGUAAAGUUAGAGACUUUACUCAUCAAUACGUCCAUAAGGGACCAUAUCUAUAAUUUGAAGCCUUAUCUUGAUGAUUAAGUGGCUUUGCUGACUGAAGAACUCGACGACUUCAUAGGAGAACUCGGCGAGUUGGUUUGGGAUUAUCCCGAUUCUGAUGAACAGGAGGAGAAAACUUGACGAGUUGAAGUGAAAUCAGCGAGUUGGAUCGAUUCUUUGCAAUUCUGCGGUUUACUGAGAACUCAACGACUUGAAGGACCAACUCGGUGAGUUGGGUCACCCGGACCAUUGAAUUUGGUGUUGACUUUGACUUUUAAGUUAUGCUUUUGACCAAGUUUGUCCCAAGGGGUGUCUGAGGUAACCUGAAUUGUGUUCGAGGAAAAUAUGGGUUUAAGAUAAGACCCAUAUGGGAUUGGGCCCAAUUUGGAAAAUUGGGCCAUUAGUGGGCUUUCAUGGAUUUAUGGUUUUGGAUCUUGCUGGUUUUGGGUUUGGGCUUUAGUUAUGAGUCUUUUUGGUUCAGGAGUAAAAUGGUCAUUUUACCCCAAGUAUGGAUUUUGGUUCAUGGUUUGGAACCCAAUUGCUAAUUCGGUGAUAUUUUGGUAUUGUUAGCUUGAGUAGUUGUCAGGGCAACGGUUAGGGAUUUCUUGCAAUGAGCUUCAACAUUCGAGGUGAGUCUCCUCACUGUGUUUAGCGGGUCGAAGGCACCAAUGUUGGCCCAUGGUUAUUAUGUUAGGAUGUCAGUUGUCUGUGUCACUCUUGCAUGUGUAUGCAUUGACAUGUAUGUUGGGCGAGCCUGAUGAUUAUUCCAUAUGCUAGUAUCAGGUUGUGCAUAUAUGAUUUGUAUGUGGGCGGGGACCAAUGAUUGUUCAGUAUGCUAUUAUCUUUGUGAUUUUCGCAUGUGUUGAAUGUUUUUAUGAUAUUAUGGCUAUGAAAGUGUGGGCGGGGCCCAUUAUGCGAGUUCGGGCGGGGCCUGUAUCUCUUUUAUACCCGAGUGUGGGCGGGGCCCAUAUCUAAGUGGGCAGGGCCCGUUAUGUGCGUAGUUAUGUAUGAUAUGAUGUAUCUUGGGGAACUCAGUAAGCUUUGUGCUUACGGUUUUCAGUUUAUGUUUUAGGUACUCCGGUUUUUAAAUGAAAGAGCUCGGGACGAUCGCACCGGAUAUACCAGUGUUUUCCGCAAUAUGUGAUCUUUGGGAUUGGACUAUGAUAAUUGUGUUAAUCAAAAUGUUUUUCAAUGUUUAGAACAAGUUACAAUGGUGUUUUGAUUAUAAUUAAAUGAAAUUUUUACCUAAGAUUUUUUUGGAAUGUUUCAUGAUCGGUUUUUUGCAUUAGGAAUUGCAUAUCUUCCAUUUCUUCCCUUUCCUCGUGUUCCUUUUUUUGGGCAUGUUUUCUUUUUUCAAAUGUUAAACGUUCAGCAUAAUUCAAAUUGUAUCGAUCGAAUGUCUCACUCAUUUCCCACUUUUCUUCGCUUCACUGAUGAUACUCGAUGCAUUGUAAAAAGACUCAUUCCCCUUCUUUUUUGCUUUGUCCCUACCCAUCAGUCAGAUAAAAUCUUCUAGCUUGAGCUCGUCGUCAUUAUUUAAAUCUAGACCGACACGAGCAUUGAAAGAAGUUGUGUAUCCAUUGGAGCCUACUUUUCUUCUUUUUAAUUGAACGUUUAGGAUUAAAAAAAAAGAAAAAAAUAUUUUUUAACAAUUUCGAAUGAUUAAUUCACACACACACACACACACACACACACACACAUAUAUAUAUAUAUAUAUAUAUACGGUUUGGUUAUUUUGUUUUCACUAUUUAUUGUGUGCAUGUAUGACUGAUUCUGGACCAAUCAUUUUAGUUAUUUUAAGAAAGUAAUUAAUGCAUAUUACAUGUUGAAGAUAUAAUGAAUAUUAAUUACAUCUUCAGCAUUUAAUAUGCAUUAAUUACUUUNNNNNNNNNNNNNNNNNNNNNNNNNNNNNNNNNNNNNNNNNNNNNNNNNNNNNNNNNNNNNNNNNNNNNNNNNNNNNNNNNNNNNNNNNNNNNNNNNNNNNNNNNNNNNNNNNNNNNNNNNNNNNNNNNNNNNNNNNNUAUAUAUAUAUAAGGCAGCCAAUGAAAGGAAGAUAGAGGGAGCGAGGUUUCUUCCCCUCAUCCUUAAACCACGUCUAGGGUGUGGUGUUUCUAAGUGCGGUUCUCGCUUUUACUCACUUUCACUCACCCAUACCGUCUGGUCUUAAUGACAAUAACUGUUGUCUCAGUUGUACUCGUUCAUAUGAUGUAUUUAUGAUAGUAUUUUUCAUAUAUUUUAUAUUUGUAACACCAUUUACUGCAUUAGUUAAUAACCAUCUAACUUGAGUAUGGUGUUAAUAAAUCUCUAACUUGAGUAUGGUGCAAUUCGCUUACAAGAUCCUUCAAUCAUAAAGGUGAAAUUUUUUUCUACAUACCUAAUAUUGCCAAAAGGCUCUCAAAUGUAAUAUGGUGUUACGCGAUCAACAUAUAAUUUUGUUCAACUGUCAUCUGAACUCCUUUUUUGGUGAUGACUUGUUAAGGCAUCUUUAAAAUAUUAAAAAAAAAACACAAAUCAUAAAAUGGAGCAUAAUACUAUAUUGGAGAGAAAAAAAAAUAGAUUUUUUUUAUCAUUAAAUCUGAAUCAUGGAUCAUAAAAAUGAUCAAUGAUUCAAUUUUAAAGAUCGAAUUUUUUUUUUCCAUUUUUUUCUCACCAAUAUAGUACUAUUUUCGAUUUUAUGAUUUAUAUAUUUUUUUUCAAUUUUUGUAAGAUGUUUUUACUGAAAAAAUAUUCAUCACAUGAUAUUUUUUAUAUAUANNNNNNNNNNNNNNNNNNNNNNNNNNNNNNNNNNNAUCAAAAAAUGGUGAAGACUGCAAGUACAAUUCUUUACCACCAAUUUCGUCAAGCACAAAAAUGUCAAACGCAAAUAUUUGGCCGUGGUGCGUUCGUAUGUAGCCACGACUAUGUUUAUUAAUAUAGACUCGAUGAUUUAAUCACGUGCGGCGAACAUUCGUAAAACGUCAUUUAAGUGAGUUUGAUUAUUUUUUUUUAUUUAUUUUCAUUUAUUUAUUUAUUUUUUUCGUUAAAAAAAUAUCAAAUUUUUUUAGUAGACAUAUGCUAGGUUUUAACGUUUUUAACUUUUUUUUAUUUUUUUAAAUUUUUUUUAUUUUAUUUUUUUUAAAUAUAUUUACUACAUACUUGAAGGUACUAGUGUUUUUUUAUUAUUUUUUGUUUUAUUUUUGGUUUUUAUUUUUUAUUUUUUUAUUUUUUAAACUAAAUACCGGUUUGUGUUUUUUAAUGUUUAACAAUUAUAAAAUUUUAAAUAACAAGAAUAUUAAUGAUUAUAAUAUUUUCCGUUCAUAAUUUUUUUUAAUCAAAUUAUUUUUGGAUCAUAAAGUUUUGAAUCAAAUUAUUUUGAAUUGUAGUAUUUUGAAUUAAAUCAUUUUUUAAUCAUAUGAUUUUGGAUCAAUCAUAUAUUUAAUUAUAUAUAGUUUUUGUUCAAAAAAAAUUAUGGAUCUAUCAUUAUAUUGAAUCAUUUAGUUUUGAAUCAUAAAGAUAUAAUUUAGGAUUAUACAAUAUUCGAGUCUAAAUAUUUUUAUAUCAUAACAAUUUAAGGAUCAUAAGCAAGUUGAAUCAAAAGGUUUUUUUUAAUCAUAAAUAUUUUGAAGCAUCACAUUUUAGAUCAUAUUAUGUUCAAUUUUUUUUAAAUUAAUAUUUCUUAAAAUAAGUCAAUACAGCAUAGUUAUCAUCGUACAACGAAUGAGAAGCCAAACGAACAACAAGUUGCGCCGCUAAACCUUUAUGUAUGGUAAAACCAAUUAUUUUGAAGACUACAUCCAUAGAUCGAGAGGAUAUAACAUUGCUAUGCUUAUCCGUUGUACUCUACUAAGAAGCUCCAACACAUCUGGCGCAAGGAAACCAAACGUAUCAAAUGCAAUUGGUAUGAACACGUAUUAAUUUUCCAUGCACGGUUUCUCAUGUUUGGUGACCUUGCAUGUAGCAGCUUUUAAUGCGAACCAAACGUAUCAAAUACAAAUGGUAUGGACACGUGUUGAUUUUCCAUGCACAGUUUCUCAUGUUUGGUGACCAUGCAUGUAACAGUUUGUCUCGACGUGAAACCCCCGACCCUCAAGCCUACAAGAGGGGAUACCCCUGCAAGGUCUAUACAUGCAUAUUUCCCUCCACCCUAUCCAAAAAUUAAAACGGCAACGGGUCUAAGAGUUAACAUUUCUUCUGUUGGAUCUUAAAAUUAAUAAAAUACUUCAAAAACUUAUUUGUAAAUAUUUUUCACAAAAUCAAGUAGAAGUAUCAUUGAGGUUACACACUCUCUUUUCUCGCUAUUCAUCAAUCACGUACUUUUUUUUUUGUUUGUUUCUCGCAUAACAAUGAAUUGUUUAAUCAAUUGCCGAAUAUUUUCUUGUUAUAUUUGAGGGAUAUAGAAAGUAUGCAUGAGACUAAUGAUUUUAACCAGAUUGAUUCUAGUGAAUUUUUUUAUUUGUAUCUAGUGGUGACCAAAACUGGUUGAUUGGUUGUUUUGCUUUGCUAAAAACAAGGGAUGAGCACGAAUAGUGAGUACAUGUUUUUGGAAUUGGAACCGUCUCAGAACCAUUGGUUUUUGAAUCGGAACCGAGGUCACGGGUUUCGGUUCCGGUUCCGGUUCCUAAAAGUAGGACUGCCUAGAACCGGUUUCGGUUUUGCAUUUAUUAGGAAUUGUUACCCACCGGGUAACCGCCAGAAGCGGUUCCAAAAUAUUAAAAAUUUAGACAUUUGUUGAUCACUUAGACAUUUGUUGAUGACUAUCUAAUUGGAUCUUUGAUGUAACAAGCUAAUAAGUCAUAUUUAACCUUUUCUUUUCAAAAUGGUUUGAUAUGAAUUUGAGUGCAUGACUUACGAACAAUUUGAGCAUAUUUUUUUUUUUGGAAAGGGAACUUCCCUAACGAGGGUUUCCGGGCCAGCUUUCACGUACCGACUAAUCCCCCGCUGCAAACAUGAGGCUUUGCCUCAUGCCCUGGAGUCACUGCAGACGAACUUUCAUGGCCACAAGGGCUUAGUAGUGCCAGGAUUUGAACAUGAGUCAAUAGAAUUUGAACAAGGGCUUGAUGAUAAUAUCUUUUGAAAAGAUCUGUUGUUAAGUAACAUUGACACGUUGAUGGUAUAAACAUGAACUUUAGUUUAUGACUUAUAUUUAUCAACUAGAAUUAUCUUUUAAAACGAUUAUUUAUUCCGUUUGUAAUUUUUAUUUUAUUUCAUGGAGACGUGAAGAUACGUUUCUGGCUAUAUAUUUCAAGGACAAAAAUAGAAGAAAAAAAAUCUAUCUAGGUAAUUUUCAUCAUUUUUAAAAUUUUAAUCAAAAUUAAUUUUUUUUAAAAAAUAAUAAAUUGUAAGUGAAUAAAAAACGGUAAAUAUAUUAAAAAAAAAAAAGUAGAAAGAUAAUUUAUAUAGAUUAUAAACCGACUACACAAAAAUUAAAACACAAGGUCCAUCUCAUUAAAAAAAAGGAAAAAAGAAAACAAAAAUCUGUUUUUAGUUAAUAUAGGAAAUAAAACAAGAAUAUAUAGUUUGAAUUUUAAAAAAUUGUAACAAAGAAAAUUAAAAUUUGUUUUUAGUUAAUAUAGGAAAUAAAACAAGAAUAUAUAGUUUGAAUUUUAAAAAAUUGUAACAAACAAAAUUAAAAUUUGUUUUUAGUUAAUAAAGGAAAUAAAACAAGAAUAUAUAGUUUGAAUUUUAAAAAAUUGUAACGUAUCAAAAUUUAAGACCAAAAAUUCAUUUUUAUGAUAACAAAACCAUCAUCCAAAACAUUUUUAUAAAACCAUAAAAGAAGAUCAGAGUAUUUCAAUAAUCAUCAAAAUACAUCAAGUCAACAAAAUGCGGAACAACAUGGUGUGUGCAAUGCGAUCAUCCUGAGCCAUUCCCCUUCGAUCUGGAAGUACUUGAAAAAUAAACUGAAAAACGUAAGCAUAAAGCUUACUGAGUUCCCCAAAAUAUUGCAUAUCGUAUAUAUCUGUCUGCUCAAGUCUAUGUCGAGUCGAUUUUACCCCCGAGUCAAUUCCAACUCAAGUGUCGGCCCAAGCCGUACCGGGUCUAUUUCACCCCUAAGUCUAUUUCAACUCAUUUGUCAGCAUAAGGUUGUAGCGGGUCUAUUUCACCCCAUAUACAUAUAGCAAAUAGGCACAAAUGCAUAUAACAUGUAUAACAUGAGUCACAAAGACUACAAGCACAUAAUAUAUCCUAGUGCCCUACAGUAUAGUGAGCAAACUUACCUCAGUCUACUGUCUGUCAAACAAAUGUUCACGCUGUUGAACCGAAAAAUCCACACUAAAUCACAAGUAAAGAAACCCUAAUUAGAAAUUAGGUCAAUAAUCAAUCCCGUGAGUCCAAACCCUAAAUCCUAAACUUGAUGAUUUCUCGUCUUGAAAUCGGAUUGGGGUGAUAAAAAACGUGUUUGGAGAAGGUUUGGAUGUGUUUGGAACCUUCCAAAACUAGGCAAAUCGCAAGGGAGAAGACCCUCAUCGAUUAGGGUUAACUCUCCUUUAAAUAGGUGCUGAAAAACUUAUUUUCAGAUCAAUUUUCGGCGAUGGUCUCCUAGUUGGCGUCUUAGAGAUUGUGUAGGACGUCUAAGCGUCCUUCAAUACGUUUUACAUGUCUUCUGUCGUGUGACAUCCCCAUUUUCAUGGCCAGAAAAGACCGAUUAUUUUUAUGCUUUAUAAAAAUCAGAGUACCCUUUUUAUAAAAAUGUUGCGGAAUUUGUUCCCAGGAAAAACAUGAUAAAUACGUUAUCAAAGCAUUUCCGAAGAAAGGUAUUUUUUUUUUAUUUUAAACCAUUGGGAUGUCAUCGUCAAUAUAGAAGCAUAAACAUAAACAAAACUUACAUUCAUUAUCACUAGUGAUUUACAUCUCCUUAAUCUCUCAGUGUAAUGUAACUUCAUAUAGACACCUGUGAUACAAAUAAGCUGGAGUGGGUCAGGUUGGAAAACCUGGUGAGUACAUAGGGAUUUCAAUCCCACAAUGUUAUAUCAUAUAUAUAUAUANNNNNNNNNNNNNNNNNNNNNNNNNNNNNNNNNNNNNNNNNNAUAUAUAAAAUUUAGAAUUCACAAAAUAUACAAUUUCACCAUAUAUACAUAAGCAACUCUUACCCCGCCUCGUUAAUCCUUACAACGAGACUAUCCAUACUCUCGGACCUUAAAUUUUACCUCUUACUUAACCCAUAAUCUCGGAUCUAAUUCCUGCUCUCGGAUUAAUAAUUGUGCUCAUUCCAUACUCUCGGAUUAGGGACAAGUAUCUAUGUAUAAAUCCAUUUUCCCGGAUUAACGACAAAUGACUAUGUCCUAUCCAUACUCCCGGACUGAGGAUGAUGACUAUGUCUAAUCCAUGCUCCCGAAUUAAUAACAUAUACUAAAGUUCUAUUCUUUGAGUAUAACUCACUCGUACUCGUAAGAAAAUACUACCCAAUAUUCCUCAUAAUUAAUUUAGGUUUACUCUUUAUCCUAAAUCAUCAUGUAUAAUAAGGUAUGUUCUUCAACACGUAUUUCAGGCAACAUCAAUUAACUCGCACAUAAACAUAUAAUUAAUACUUCAAUCAAUACUUGUAUUAAAAUCAUGUUCAUGAAAGGUACUAUGCACUCACUUGAAAAUGUGGUGAUUCCGAACUCAGACAGCGCUUCGCUUCUUAAAAAUAAUUUCCUUCGACGAAACCUAUUAUUAUUACCACUAGAGUUUAGUCUAUUAUUUGUCGAGACUAAUUAAUAGUCUAGCUAUUAUUACUAUUAUAUAAGCAUUAACCAAUACUUAUAUAACACAUAAUAAUAGUCCAAGUACUUAUUAUAAGUUCCUAAUAACAUUACUAUAAUUAAAUAAACGAUAUAUUAAAAAUAACGUAGGCGUAGGUCACUUACAACUAGUUUUAUAGAAAACCGGUCUUUGCUUGGAGCAGCGUUCCCGAGCCGAAAAGCUCUUCCUCUCGGAGCCGUCGAGCACUCCGGGGCUUCUGCCUCGUGCUAGGGAGGUUACCUAGGCUUUUCGGGGGGUUUCGGGGCUAGAGAGAGAGGUUCUAGAGAGAGAGUAAAAAGAAGAAAGAAUGAGAAAGGUGUGAAAAAAAAUGAGGCUGGGAGAGGUUCUAUUUAUAGGGUGAAAAUGGCUGAACUUGGUGCCACAUGUCACCAUCUAGUGGCAAGACUUGGGGAGAAAGCAAUGGCUAAGAUUGUGCCACAUCACCCAUUUUCGCACAGCACACUUCCGACUUCUAAAAUCUGUAACUUUCACAUACGACCUCUGUUUUUGAUGUUCUUUAUAUCCACGUGUAGGUAAAAAUAACAUCUACAACAUUCCUUUUGACUCCGUCGGCUAAUUCUUGACCGAUCUUAAAUUUAACAGUACGAGGAGAUUAUACUGUUAAAUGUUCGUGUAAAAUUCAUAACUUCUACAUACGGACUCUGUUUUCGUCUGUCUUUUUACCGUUGAGUUCCUAUUAAUGAGAUCUUCAAUUCUCAUUUAGGCCGCAUAGGUCAAAAACCGCUCGACCUAAAAUUCGAGUUUCGGGUCGUGCACUACUAUGCCAAAUCUUAGAAAAUUCAUAACUUCCUCAUACGAAGUCAGAUUUGGGCGUUCUUUUUUUAGUAUGUUCUUAGUUUAACAUAUACUACAACUUUUAUUUGUAUCGAUAAGGCAAAAAAGUCAUUUAUCAAAAAUUCACUAUUUACGUCUCCAGGUGUCGUGCCGGUUUUGCCGUAAAACUUCGACGGGCCAUAACUUCUUCGUUAUAAGUCGGAUUUCGGCGUUCUUUAUAUGUACGGAACCCUUGAUACAUAUUAUGAAACUUGGUUAAGAUUAUUUAUUAUAAAUAAUCUUUUGUCGAAAAUUCGUUUUCGACCCCUAUUAUCUCUAAAUUGACUAGCUCGGAUCUACGGGCGUUACAUGUCGUCCUUGAUUUGCACUUGAAAAUGGCCUUAAAAUGUGUAGGCGUCCUAAUGUAAUUCCCUGAUUCCUGUAUAUAAAUUUAUGGUUAUAAUUUCUCAUGAUUUCAAGGUCUACUCGGCGAGUCGAUUGCCUGACUCGCCGAGUAGCAGCGGGUUGGUUCGCAUGUUUAAGUGACCUACACGCCGAGUCCAAGAAGGGACUCGACAAGUAGGAGCUGGUAGAUUAAACCCUAAAUUCCAUGGUUUUGCGCCGUAUUUAAAGGUUCCUUUUCCCCCCUUAGCUUUCCCUUGCAGCCCCUGUGAGUCCAAAAACCCUAAGUCUCCAUUGUCUAUCCAUACUUGUAUGUUUAAGCUUGAAAGGUGGAUCUUGGUGAGGAAACGCUUGAAGAUCAAGAAGCUUUGAGCAAGAAACAGUUGGGGAUCUGAAGUCUACCUCAGUUUAUCAUCAUUUGGAGGUAUCAAGUCACCAACUUGAGCUUCUUCUAGCUAGAUCCCUUUUAUAUUUGAGUUUUGUGGCCAUCUUGGGCAAUUGGUGUUGCCUUUCGGGUGAUGAACCAAGAUCUGAAGUUGCAACUUCAGAUCUAGGCUCAUCUUGGUUCUUAUCAUCAUAAAGUCUUGGUCUUUAGCAUGUUGGUGAAGCUCUUUGGCCUAGAACCUCUUCUUUAGCUUGAUUUAGGUCAUUAGCACUUUACAUGCACGUAAAUUUUGCAACUUUACGUGAUAAACAUGCCUUGGGGGACUGGAUCUACAAUAUGGAGCCUUAGCAUGUCUUAAAAAGCCUCUGUAUGGAUGAAGUACUAAAUGGACUCGAUGAGUAUCAGGACAACUCGGCGAGUCUAAUGAAGAUAGUUGUAGGCUCGACGAGUCGGAUGAACGACUCGGCGAGUCUGAUGAAGAUUGCCUUGGGCUCGGCGAGUCAGUCAAGUAACUCGACGUGUCGGCUAGGGUUUUCCCAACCUUUGGACACAUAUAAACCCAAUGAGUUGUAUAAGGAAACUCGGCGAGUUGGCCAAGGGGUUUUCGGCCACUGACACUAGGAACUCGACGAGUCGCUCAUGUGACUCGGCGAGUUGGCGAGUAAUGCAAGGCACUCGGCGAGUGGCUGGUUGUACUCGACGAGUUGAGGUCAACAUGGACUGUUGACUUUGGCAAUUAACUUUGAAUUUGACAACAGGUUGACUAUUGGACUUCUGAGGGUAUUUUGGUAAAUUGGAUUUUGGUAGCAAAGGGGCAUUAGUGAAUGUAGGUGUUGGAGUUGGAGCAACAUCUAGAAGAUUUUGACACUACCUUCCGAGUUACUUGCGAGGUGAGUUAUCCUCACUAUAUCAACAGGGUCUAAGGCACCAAGGCCGGCCCUUUCUCGGAUCGUAUACUCGUUUGUUUGAUAUGUUUAUUGAUCUGCUAGAUCUGCAUCCUGGUAGUUAGGAUAGUAUUAUGUUAGCGAUCUGGUUUAGGUCGGUAUCCUGGUAUAUAGGAUGAUGCUAUGUUAGUGACCGGUUAGGUUGGUAUCCUGGUUAGGAUGUUGCUAUCCUAUAUGAUCUGCUAGAUCGGUUUUUUGUCUAUGGAGUGUGAUGUGAUUAUCUGUUAUAUGUACACAUGAUUGUUUGGUUAGUAUGGGGGUUGGGUUGAGGUGGGUCCUGCUUCUUGCUGUAGGCCAACAUACCUAGGGCGGACCGGAUAGACUGCAGGCCCAGGAGGGCACCUAGUCAGGCCGAAGGCCCGACGAGCAGUGCGGAUAGGCUGAAGGCCCCGAGAGGAUAGUCCAGAUGUGCCAAGGCUCGGAGAGUGGGCCAGAUAGACUGAAGGCCCGACGCGGGCGGUCCAGUCAUACUGUAGACUCAGAGAGUGGACUAGGUGGACUGUAGGCCCGAUGCGGGCGGACCAGUCACACUAUAGACUCGUGAUGCGUGGCUGUUCUGCUAAUUAUAUGUUAUAUGAUAUGGUUAUCUAUAUGGCAUUGGUAUUUUGGGGGUAACUCACUAAGCUUUCAGGCUUACAGUUUUAGUUUAUCGUUUCAGGUUCAGUGGAUGGCCGCGGGAAGGCGAAGGCGUGACCGUACACUUCAUUGAUUGAUGAUUAUGAUUUCUGGGAACUCUGAUGUUUAAACUAUUUUGAAAACAAAUUGUAAUAAUUGAAUGGUUUUAAAUGAUUUAAAAAGUUUUAAAUUGGCUCGAAUUUUAUGGAUGUUACACCCAAGUGACAUCUUAGACGUGUUCUAGGACGUCCUUCAUUUUUGGUACCCCUAUUGGUGAUGAAAACGGUAGAAUCAGUAAAAAUGAAAAAAUGAAAGUUGUAGUAACUUUUGUCUAGUUCCUAAAACUUCUUCAAUCAGAUUAAUCGAAGCUCUAAAUCUUGAGAUAUGAUCAAAACAUUGAAGAGUGGUCAAAUUUCUCAACAACAUUUUUCUUCAUUCCUUUGGUAAUUCGUCUCCCAUACUUGUUAGCUUCCUUUUGCUCGUUUUUCAUGCGGGUUCUACCCAAUUUAGCACUCAAUAGUUGCCUGCACAUAAUGUUCAACAUUUGAUUAAAGUAGUGUCAUUCUUCGGCAAUCAUACAUCAAUUCAACAUAUUUAUCACAAUUUAGUACAUUAUAAAAUAGACUUAUCAAACCUCCCCAACAUUAUUCCAAACUCGUCCCGAGAUUGGCCUAAAAUAGUCAUUAUAGUCUUACUCUCUUAUCCUAUGAAAAACUCAAUGGAAUCAUGAAUUUCGUACACAUUAUCAAAACAUAUUCACUAAGCACAAUAUAUUGAUUUUGGGGAUUAUUAGUUGUUUAUCUAGACUUUUAAACUCAAAAUACAUGUUAUGCUUAUUUUACUUUUUUUUUGAAACCCUCCGCUUUUUGAACCCUUUCCAAUAACCAACCUCAUGAGUAAUCAGUUGAACUCAUUGCCAAAGUCUCGUUUUCAAGGUUCACUAACAUAGUUAGUGCGGUCGGUAACACUUAAUGGAUCAACCCAUACACUCCCACUCUCGAGGGAUCACAUAUUGUUUCACAAAUUGUUUUCAAUUUGAACUUUUCUUCAUAUUUAUCUUGAUUGUUCGUUCUCCAAGUUCCUGAUGGCUUCAUCGGAUUUGAUCAUCUUUGUAUUUGACUUGAGGUUGAAUAUAUAUACUUGGAAGUUCUUCAAUGUCUUCUGAUGCUUUUUGGUUGUGUGAAAACAAUAAUAGUCCCCUCCCAACCCCAAAGGCACAAGAGUAAGUAAGACCAAGUACUCAAAGCAUGAUGGCACAUAUUGUUCGUUUGGGUCCUCAAUUGAAAUUUAGUAGGCUCGAGCCAAAAAUCUUUAUUUUUCAAACUUGGUUAUUUCACAUAACAAUUUUUAAAUAAAUAUAAAUAUUUCCAAACCGGUUGAGCAACCCACAAAUCAAUCUUAAUUAGAUAUUAUGACUCGAUGUACGAAACUCCUAUCAUUUUCCGUCUUGAUGAGUUACAUUCAAGAUAUAGAGAAGCUACUAACUCAUCACAAAUUUCAUGGUGACCAACUUCAGGAUAAGAUAAUUAAGGAUAGAGUUUAAGAUAGCAGUACAUUCAUCAUAAGUUGAUUAUCCGAAAAAUUCAUCAAAGUUAAUGUAAAAGAAAUUAAAAAUAUGGAGGACGACAGACCUGAUGAUACUGAUAGUAGAGGUGGGUUUUUUUUUUCCAUAAAACUUCACUUGUUGGAGGUAUUUGCAUAAUGUUUCGUUAUGCCCAAAUAAGCAUCGAACAAUUAUGAUUUUUUUUUAUAAAAAAUCACUUUUUCUUCAAUCCUCCAUCUUUUUCCUGUGUCCACCCCUCCCCAACUUUAAGUCUUGAAUCGUCCUCGGUGCAUCAAAAGAUAAAUUCCUAAAAUAAAAAAAAAAACAACUAGAAGCAUACAAAUCAAAUCAAAUAAAAAUAAACUACACUAACUAGCCCUCAAUUUUGUCGGGGUCCACGAUUGCACUUGGCACUUGCAACAAUCCUUUUAAACCCCUAUGUUACCCCUAGUGGACGAUUGAAGUCUCGUGAGAGUUUGCAGUGAACACAUCCACAAUGUUCCAAAAUUUCCAAGUUUAAUGUCAUUAGUGGGACAUGUUACCUUAACUAAUGUCUAUGGAGGAUCAUAUGUUAGUUGACUUCCUUGAAGGUCAGUCAUGAGGUCGCUCACCUUACUUUGAAGAACCGGAUCAUGUGGCAAGCCUUUUUUGGCCUUGUGUAAAUCAACUAUUUUGCAUUUAAUCCUUCCAAGAUGAUGCUUAAACCUUGUUUUGAAGAGCCGUGCAUCUUUCUAUCUAGUAAACUUCUUUAAUCGAUACUUGAUAUCAUGUAACACUUUCAUUUUUGAUUUUUGAGAGUGUGUGUAAUCAUGCUUCUUAUUCCCUAAUCUUCUUUUCUUGUGUUGACUCAAGCAAUCAUCUAGUGCUUUUGACCUGUUACAUGAUAAAAUUUUCUCCAAAUUGUGGGUGGUGCCAUAGAGCAUAUUUGCGGUAUGCUCAUAGACAUAAUCAUGUAUAGUAUUGAUUACAAACAUGUCACCACUGGUUAGAGGAUCAUUAGUAGGUCCAAACAAAAGAAAGAUUAAUUUAUGGUUUCCACAUGUCACAUUUAUCGCACCUUCUCGACAACUUAUAUGGGCAUAUAUAGUUGCCAAGAGGGGACGAUCAAUGACGACAUUUGGUUUUUUGUAUGUGCUUAGUCUUUUAGAAUCCAUCAUAUCAAGAAGUUGUGGUUCAGGUUUUUUAAAAGUUGGUGGGUGAGGGGUGAUACUAGCCUCCACGGACCCCUACCCAACUUUGGAUGCUUCUAAAAGAUGAAACUCUUCAUUAUAAUUUUCUAAUCCAAUUACAGUUUCUUUGCUUUCAUACAUCAUCUCAAUAUCUUUAUUAUCCAAAGAAACAUAAUCCUCCACCACAACCUUAAGUUUGGAUGGUGUAGGUUUAUGCACUUUGUUAUCAUACAAUUGAUCAAUACAUAGAAAAGUUACCUCAUUUGGUUGUGUAGUGUCUGAAAUAUUAUUUGAUGAUUAUUGAUUUAGUUGCUCCUUUAUUUCUUUCAGUUGAUCUUCAAGAGCCGAAAUAGAUUCGGAGUUGUCUUCCUCCUUGUUGAAGGUUUCAUUCAACAUGUCCAACAUUUGAUCCAACUUCUUGCUAAAUGAAUAUUUUUCUAAUUCUUGUUCGUCCGGGAAAUAAUAUGGUUCAUGGUAUUGGUUUUGAGUCGAUUACUCAGUCCACCAACAAUCAUCAUCAUAUGGAUCAUUGUAUGGAUAAUCAUUAUAUGACUCAUUGUAUGGAUCAUUAUUGUAUUGAUAUUGACCCGGAUUUCCAUUCCCCCACCACAUAUUUUGGUUAAUAUAAAUGUAUUCCUCCAUUCACGAUAGUCCCUACUCAAAAAUAGUAAAAUUGUGAAGAUUCUAAACAAAAAAUAAAUCAAAAUGAAUAAAACUUAACGACUACUUCAACACAAUAGUUUAAGCGCACAAUCUCCCCGACAACGACACCAAAUUUUUAUCGAGGUCAUUGUCUUAGUAAAAAACAAACCAUCUAACCAAAGUAGAUAGGGUAAGUUGGGUCGAAUCCACAAGGAGUUCGUGGUUAAAGUUUGGGUCAAAAUCAUCAACAAAAAAUGUAUUCCUAUCAAUUGUCACGAAAAGGAUUUAAACAGAGAUCAAAUAAAAAGCUUGGAAAUUCAUUAAUUAAGACGAAAAUCUCAAUGAGAAAACUAGAGUACUCCUGGUUCAGUUAUGGACAAUUUAGAUUCACACACUUUCUUCCCUAGAAUCUUAUUCAAUUACUUCGAUGCAAUUGGGGUUUAUUAACUUGUAACACAUAAUUUUGGGCACACGAUAUCUUCAUUCAACUAGUUGUCUUACUCCCUAUGUCUAAAUGGAUUAUGAACAGUUAGUGAAUUAGCAAUAAAGUGUCUUACAACUACCUAUUACCAUAUUACGUUUCAAUAUCAUUAGUUGGAAUAAUAUAUGUUGAUUCAAUCACUUGUCUUUAUUCCUAAACUAAUUGAAGUUGGCACAAAUGAUGAAUUGACAAUAAACUAUUUUAAUUAUGACAUCAAAAAAUUCAUACAACCCAAUUUCAAUUAUCAUUACCAAAGAUCAUCACAUGAAGCAGAAAACAACAAUUGAAAUUAACUAGAAUCAAGUAAAUAUCAAGUGUGUUUAUCCAAAAGUCCUAAACAUCCCCGGAAGUAACCCUAAUGGUUUAGCCUUCCAUAGAGUUCAUAAAACAAACAACUUGAAUGAAAUGAAUAAAAUGCAUAAUAAAAUCCAAUAACAAACUUGAAAUCAUGAAAAAAUUAUAACCUAAAGAUUAUGAAAGUUUGAAACAAUAAAACCUUGAGGGACAAGUAAGGAAAUUCAUAAGUUGUAGUAAUGAUGAUGAAGAUCCUUGGUUGAACAAUCAUCUAAUGUUGAAUCCUUGUGAAAUUGAUGAUUUCUUGUCUUGAAAUCGGAUUGGAGUGAUCAAAAAUGUGUUUGGUGAAGGUUUGAACGUGUUUGGAAUCCUCCAAAACUAGGAAAAAUCGUAGGGGAGAUGUUCCUCAUCAAUUAGGGUUAAAUCUUCUUUAAAUAGGUGUUGUAAAACUUAUUUUUGAUCAAUUUUCGGCACAUGCGUCCUAGUUGGUGUCUUAUACAUUGUGUAGGACAUCUAGGCGUCCUUCGAGACAUUUUACAUGCCUUCUGUCGUCCUUGAUGUGCACUUGUGUUGGGCUGAAGUUCUGUUUUGUAUUGCGUCUUUUGGGCUCGUAGAUUAGCCUAGUAUUCUCCGGUUUGGGCCUGUCCAACCGAGAGCCUUUUAUGUAUAGUAUAUAAGUUAUCGCUUGCAUGCAUAUUAGGUUAAGAUUUAAGAUUCAAGAUUUCUGUUUGAGCGUUUCAGAGUUUACGAUUUUGUUCUCUUGUAAUCUUCCAAUCCUUUACAAUUGAUGUUCUUAAUCGAGCUCUUCUAAGGAUUUUGUUUAAUCAUUCAACACGUUUGAUUCAAGCUGUUUGUUCCUUUUAUUGUGUUCUGCAUUGUUAUUUAUAUUGUGUUCUUGCAGUUUCAUAUUCAUAUACCUGUUCACGAUCUAAUCGAUCUUUAUAGAUUAAAAGCUAUUGUGUUUUUUUAAUCUCAUCAAUUGGUAUCAGAGCAGGAGGCUGUGUAAUCGAUACACUUCUUUUCUGUGAAAAAGAUUUUCAUUAGGGUUUUCCGCAAUCAUCGAUAUUUAUUGAGCCGUCAUCUUAAUUGACGUAUCUUAGUAUUUAUUGUUUUGCCCUAAUCUGCUUUAUUACAAGUCUGAUCUUUGAACAGGUUAUUACGAUCAUUAUGGACGCAACGCAAUCAAACCCUAUUAAUAUUUCCAACAGCAUUGGUUCGACGACAAAGAUUCCAAUCUUAUACACCCAUGACUAUGAAGUAUGGGCACAUCAUUUUGAAGAUUACGUGAUUGGAUCGGAGGACAAUGGUUUUCUCAUAUGGGAAGCCAUUAUCAAUGGACCGUUUUCUCAUUCCGCGACAUCCAGAGUUAUUAAGACGCAAAAAGAUUACAACGAUUUGCUCAAGGACGUGACGAAUAUUGCGCAGGAUGAGAAAGAUAAAUUCCAGUGCAAUAUUAAGGCACUAAGGUUGAUCCGAUUCGCCCUUCAGUCCGACACAUUCAGACUAGUCAGCUCAUGCACUACGGCGAAGGAAGUGUGGGAUAGACUUCGCGAACUGUAUUCAACAGACGAAGAUCUUGAACACUCCAUCCAAACCUUGCUUCUAUCUGAGUUUGGAGAAUUCAGGCAAGGGGCUGAAGAAACCGUGACCCAGACGUUUGAUCGCUUCAAUCAUCUUCUCAGCAAGAUGAUCAAACACGACAUUGAAAGGAAGCUCAUCGAACAAAAGGUUACUUUCUUGAACGGACUGAGAUCGGAAUGGAGAGCAGUAGUUUCCACAGUCAAAGCCCAUGAACAGUUUAAAUCAUACUCUUUGGCGAAACUGGUGGGUAUUCUAAAGUCCCAAGAGAAGAUUGUUGUUCAAGAGAAGAACGUGGUGUCUAGUCUUGGUUCGUUGGCCCUCCUAUCUAAAAGUAAAGCCGUGAUGGAGGAUGAAGAGCUCAACUUGGAAGAAUAUGACCUCACAACUGAGGAUUAUGCCAUGAUGGUAUCCAAUCCUAAGAGGUUCAUAAAGAAGAGAUUCCCCAGCAACAAAAACCGAAACUGGCAGGGGAGUUAUAGCUCUGAAAAGGCAAACAAUGAACCGAAGGCUGAGGAGUCCAAGAAGGAACCGAAGGCAGAUGGCGAUUCCGGAGUAAGCUGUUUUUACUGUGGUGGCAAGAACCACUAUGCUAAGGACUGUGUUCUUAAAAAGAUGGCUGAAAAGGAUGACGGAAAGGAUGAGGAAGCCGUACUGCAGAAGAGGUUGGAUGAGUUGAGGAAGAAAAAGUCUACCGCUAACCCUUCUAUUAAUGCUCUUAUUGUGCAGGGUUCGGUUAAUAACGAUGAGUUCGGUAGCACCGAAGUUUGGUCUACUGACUCAGAAGACGAAGAAGUGAGGAAGCCUACUCAUGGAAAGGCUUAUAUGGCUAAGGAGGAAAGCAGUGGUGGAAAAUGCUUCAUGGUGUCAAGCGCAUCUCAAAUGAGGGGAUACAAUACCGAUGGAGGAAGCAAUGGACCGAAAGUGCAGGAAGAUAUGUGCUUCACAGCCAAACCACUCAGCCAACAGUUCAAUGAGCUUGAUGAACUGAUAAAGAAGGUACAAUCUGUUUUUAUUUCAUCUAAAGUACCAUCAUCCUCAUAUGAGAAAGAACUAAAAAACGUUAACACAAGAAUUUCUCAUUUAGAUAGUAGCUUAACUCAAACUAGAGUCACCAAUUCUAACCUGACUGAUCAAUUAAGCAGGGUGGCGUCGAAGAGUGAGGAGCGGCGUAUGUGGAUUGAGUUAAAAGAGUCGGAAUUAAUUAAAGUCAAAGACGAAAACAUUUAUUUGCAGAGAGACAAUUUGAAAUUGUUAAAACAACGAAAUGUUUUUUGUUUAAUAGCUAAACGUUUAUAUUCCAAUAUUACUCAGCUGCACUUGGACUGUGAGAUAGGCAAAAAGAUCCACCGUAUGAUUUUACCAUUCCUAGAAUUUAAGGAGGAUGAAAUCGAUGCCGAAGCUUACAAUUGUGAGAGUGUGAUUUCGUCUGAUGAUGUCAACCCAACUUAUCAAAUUGGACUGGACAAAAUUGAGUCCUUCAUUAAAUCCAAAGACCAUAAGGACAUGCUCAAAAAUCUGUUGGACGAAAAUGAUAGACUUAAACUGAGAACCGAAACCAUACAAAAGUUUGACUCUCUAAAUGCCAAAGUAAGCUCAGAAAAUAAAAUUGAUGUUGAAAAUGCAUCUGAGCUUAACGAGGACGAAAACAUGAGUGAAAUUUCUGUAGAGGAUACGGUUGACUGCUCAGAAUUUGUGAAAAGCGAAACUGAAAACCACAAAAAUCUUAUUUCUGAAAAUUCUGUGGAAUUCGCUAGAUUGUCCCAACAAAAGUCCCCGAAAUUAGUAGAAAAGGCUGUUGUCUAUCAAAAGGUCAGAACCACUCCGAAUCAGGUAUACAAAGUGACUGGAGUAACCGAACAUCAGACAGCUGAACUCACGGCUAUUGUUAACGAAGACAAUGCUGAUGGCUGUGAUGAGUUCUUCUGGGAAGCUCCUAUUGACAAUGGAAACGAAACCGUUGGCCUAUCUGAAAGAACCUCUUGGAUGAAGAAAGGGAGAUACAUACCUGAACCCUUGAACAAGCCUGAUAAUUUCAGUGAACCAAGCACAAGUGGUACAAAAGACACUCCUCAAGAGGUUGAUCAUUCAGUAAAAGAAGACAUUCCUUCAACGCCAACAGCUCGAAGUGAAACUUCAUCAGAUACUCCUUCCACUUCCUCAGGGCAAACUGAAUCUUCUUCAGAUAUUCCCUCUGCUCCCUCGUUUCAAAGAAAAACUCCUAAAGUUCAAAAGGAAUCAGCAAAGGUUACAUCAAAAGCGAAAGCGAACGUUCAUCAUCAACCUAAACAGAUGAGGGAUAAAAAGAUAGAAAGGAACCUAAGAUACAGGAAAAACCUUUCUGAAAGGAAACAAUUCUGGCACUCCCAGAAUGCAUACUAUUCACACAAGGACAAGAAUCUGAAGUAUGAAAAUAAUCCCGUAAGAAAGCACGAUAAUUCCAACAACCGAAAGCCAAGGUUCGGUUCGCAAGAAGAUACCAACCGAAAGCCAAGGUUCGGUUCGCAAGAAAAUUCUAACCGAAAGCAAAGGUUCGGUUCUGAAAAGGAUUUCAACCGAAACCAAAGGUUCGAUUCCAAGAACAACUCCAACCGAACUCAGAGGUUCAGUUCUGAAGUCAGAAGAGAACAAGACUCAAAAGUUAAACCCACCAACGAUCAAAAGCAAAAGGGUCACCUAGAGUCAUCAGCAAGGAAGACACCUCCAUCCAAAUCCAAAUCCUCUCUUCCUAAUUCUUCUUGUUCAUCUCCAUCUUGCUCUAACACUAAUUCCAUGGGUUCUCAAAAACCACGUCCAUCUGCUGAACAGAAGGAAAAGCAGAAAGUCGGUGAAUUCAAACCUGAGUCUAAAGCGAACAAAUCCAAUCCUAACAAAAUAAAAGUUUUCACCAUUAAAAAGAAAGAUGAAACAACUUUAAUUAAAAGAACAUAUCUUGUUGAUAUCUCUCUAACUAUUCCUGUUCCCAUGAAAACCUCACAUGGACCCAAGAAACUUUGGGUUCCUAAAUCUGCUUAAUUUUUGCAGGUUAUAAGUGACGAGCAGUUUGACGAAGAAUGGUACAUCGACAGUGGCUGCUCGCGUCACAUGACAGGAAGGAAGGAGGAACUCAGGGAAUACAGAUCUCUUGCAAAUGGUGGCAACGUUAAGUUUGGAAAUAACUCUUACGGCACCAUAAAGGGAUAUGGGAUGAUAACGAAUGGUGAUUUUACCAUAAGAAAGGUGGCUUAUGUGGAAGGACUUCAACACAACCUCAUCAGUGUAUCUCAGCUUGUUGGAGGUACAGGUCUCAAAGUUUCAUUCGAUGAUGAAGGUUCUGAAAUCAUAGAGAAAACAACAAAGAAAGUGAUUCUGAAGUCAGAGCGAAAGGGUGAAAUGUUUCCGCUGAACAUGAAACCCAUCAAAGGAAACCCAGCAAUUUGUCUGCUAUCAAAAGCUCAAUACGACGAAAGCUGGUUGUGGCACAGAAGACUCUCUCAUCUCAAUUUCAAAGAUAUCAACCGACUUGUCACUGGAGGUCAUGUUAGGGGUCUUCCAUUGCUCAAGUUUGACAGAGAGCAUUUAUGUGCUGCAUGUGAAAUGGGAAAGCAGAGUCGUCAAAGUCACCCAUCCAUUGUUAACACAAAAGUUGUUGAACCACUCGAAUUGCUUCAUAUCGAUUUAUGUGGUCCUUCAUCUAUUGAAAGCAUCGGUGGUAGCAAGUACAUUCUUGUUGUCGUUGAUGACUUCUCUAGAUUUACAUGGGUGUUCUUUCUAAAGCUCAAAUCUGAAGCGACUCAAAAGCUGAAAGUGUUUAUCAAGCAAAUUGAAGUCCAGCUCAAGAAGGUCGUUCGCAACAUCAGGAGCGACAAUGGUCUCGAAUUCAAGAACAGGGAGUUUGAAGCGUUUCUUGCAGAAAAGGGAAUUAGCCAUAAUUUCUCAGCUCCCUACACACCACAGCAGAAUGGAAUAGUCGAAAGACGAAACCGAUCUCUGUGUGAAGCUGCCCGAACUAUGUUAAGUUUCGCUUCCUUACCUCUAUAUUUUUGGGCUGAUGCUAUUUCUGCUGCUUGUUAUACACAAAACAGGUCCUAUCUCAACAAGCGAUUCACGCUCACACCAUAUGAGAUACUAAACAACAGGAAGCCCAAUGUGAAAUUUUUCCACGUUUUUGGCUCAAGGUGUUUCAUCUUUAACUCUAAAGAACACCGCAACAAGUUUGAUGUCAAAGCCGACGAGGGAAUCUUUCUGGGUUACUCACUCACUUCAAAGGCGUACAGGGUCCUAAACAAACGAUCAAGAAGGAUUGAAGAAACAUACUAUGUGACCUUCGACGAUAGCUAUGUCAAGAAGCUACAGGCCAUAGAUGACACUGCCAGGGAAAUCUUCCCUCAAACUGGUCAAGUCACAAUCUCAAUCGCCAAUAUGUACGAGAAUUUUCUGGAUCUCUUUGAUGAACCGGAAAAAGCUUCUCUCUCAGAAGCAGGGGCAGCCGACAACAAAAUAGAUCAUAUGAAGAAGAUUGUCGAAGAUGCUGCAAGAAGAAUGCAUGAAGGAGAAUCGCCUACUGAUGAAUCUCCAACCAACAAUGCUUCAGUCGAGGGGGAGCCAAAUUCUCUUGUCGAGGGGGAGCCUAGCUCACAAGUCCAGGGGGAGCCAAGCUCUACUACUUCAACCGAAGGUCCUUCAUCAACCGAAGAUGCACCUCCUCACGAAGGUCCUUCAAUGUCUGAAAAUCCAGCACCACAAGAAACCCCUGAACCUCACGUUUGUCAAGACUCAUCAAUUGAGGGGGAGCAUGAUGAUAUGACGCUUGAUUUUGAUAGCCAAUCCGAGCCUGAAGAGAUGAUCAACGCUGAACUAGAUCCAUCCUUUGAUCCGAAUUACCCUCCUCUUACAAAAUGGACCAGAGAUCAUCCUAUCUCUCAAGUAGUUGGUGAUGUAUCUGAAAAGGUUCUGACCCGAUCUCAACUGAAGGCAAAACAGACAUCCUUAUUCUC